UAGCUUAGUUUGUAAAGCGCUCAUCUAGCAUACAAGAGUCCUGGGUUCGAAUCCCAG
rnacentral:tRNA from 1 species